GAUGAACGCUGGCGGCGUGCCUAACACAUGCAAGUCGAACGGAGCUUAAAGGCGCAGCGAACUUGUUCAAAGCACCCUUAAGCUUAGUGGCGGAUGGGUGAGUAACACGUGAGCAACCAACCUUUCACAGGGGGAUAACAGUCGGAAACGGCUGCUAAUACCGCAUAACAUCCUAAGGUGGCAUCACCAUAGGAUCAAAGGAGUAACAUCCGGUGAGAGACGGGCUCGCGUCCGAUUAGAUAGUUGGUAAGGUAACGGCUUACCAAGUCAACGAUCGGUAGCCGGACUGAGAGGUUGACCGGCCACAUUGGGACUGAGACACGGCCCAGACUCCUACGGGAGGCAGCAGUGGGGAAUAUUGGGCAAUGGGCGCAAGCCUGACCCAGCAACGCCGCGUGAAGGACGAAGGUCUUCGGAUUGUAAACUUCUUUGGUCGGGGACGGUAAUGACGGUACCCGAAGAACAAGCCACGGCUAACUACGUGCCAGCAGCCGCGGUAAUACGUAGGUGGCGAGCGUUAUCCGGAUUUACUGGGUGUAAAGGGCGUGUAGGCGGACAAUCAAGUCAGAUGUGAAAUCUCCGGGCUUAACUCGGAAACUGCAUCUGAAACUGGUUGCCUUGAGUGUCGGAGAGGAAAGCGGAAUUCCUAGUGUAGUGGUAAAAUACGUAGAUAUUAGGAGGAACACCGGUGGCGAAGGCGGCUUUCUGGACGAUAACUGACGCUGAGGCGCGAAAGCGUGGGGAGCAAACAGG
rnacentral:rRNA from 1 species